rnacentral:lncRNA from 1 species
CUUACAUCAGUAGGUCUCCUACCAUACGCUCUAUCAGUGAGUGACUUAUGAUUGAUGGGAGUCACGGCUGCUGUUUAGCUUUUAUCUGUGACCUCAAAUAAUGGACAACAGGAAUUUCCAGGCUGUUAAAUUCCUUGAAUGACUGAAGACACGGGAUGGCUCUGCUGAUAAACGCAGGACUGUCUACUUAAGAAGCUGAGAGUGAGUUAGGAACAUUGAUGAAGCCUCUGUUCUGUGAGGUGGAAGAGAGAGAAAACAGCCACAUUUGCUGGAGUGGUGAACCAAAUUGCUUUGACUGGAACCAUUACUCACUUGCACCUUUGAUGGGAGCAGCCAGGGAAUUUGAAGAUAGUCAUGCCUAUUAGAUGUUUAGAAGAUGCAGUUGGCUGUGUCACCAUGGAAGAGAUGAAGAGAACUUUGCUCUAGGAGAUCACAAUCUCUGGAUCAUUCUGCAUCUCAGUAUUUAAUAACAAUGGAACAUGUCCAAAUGCUAAAACAAGUCUUUGCAAAUGUAUAAUAAACUGUUUAGGAAAGUUCA